UACGGGGGGGGCAAGCGUUGUUCGGAAUUACUGGGCGUAAAGGGCGCGUAGGCGGCCAACUAAGUCGGAUGUGAAAUCCCCAGGCUCAACUUGGGAACUGCAUCCGAUACUGGAUGGCUUGAAUUCGGGAGAGGGAUGCAGAAUUCCAGGUGUAGCGGUGAAAUGCGUAGAUAUCUGGAGGAAUACCGGUGGCGAAGGCGGCAUCCUGGACCGACAUUGACGCUGAGGAGCGAAAGCUAGGGGAGCAAACGGG
rnacentral:rRNA from 1 species